rnacentral:rRNA from 1 species
GAUGAACGCUAGCUACAGGCUUAACACAUGCAAGUCGAGGGACCGACUUACGGGUGAGUAACUCGUAUCCAACCUUCCCAUUCCUGUGGGAUAACCUGCCGAAAGGCAGACUAAUACCGCAUAGUAAUGUAUGGGGAUUCGUCUGAUUAGCUUGUUGUCGGGGUAACGGCCCACCAAGGCGACGAUCAGUAGGGGGUCUGAGAGGAAGGUCACCGACAUGGGAACUGAGACACAGGCCAAACUCAGACGGGAGGCAGCAGUGAGGAAUAUUGGUCAAGGGAGGGAAGUCUGAACCAGCCAAGUAGCGGGCAGAAUGACGGCCUAUGGGUUGUAAGCUGUUUGGGUAGGGGGAUAGGUACCAUAUGAAUAAGGAACGGCUAAUUCCGUGCCAGCAGCCGCGGUAAUUC